rnacentral:rRNA from 1 species
GCAUCCAGUUGCCAUCGGGCGGAGCCGGGCGACUCUGAGGGACUGCCGGCGACAAGCCGGAGGAAGGUGGGGAGUGACGUCAAGUCAUCAUGGCCCUUAUGUCCAGGGCGACACACGUGCUACAAUGGCCGGCACAGCGGGAAGCGGAGGGGCGACCCUGAGCGGAUCCCUUGAAAGCCGGUCCCAGUUCGGAUUGCAGUCUGCAACUCGACUGCAUGAAGUUGGAAUCGCUAGUAAUCGCGGAUCAGCCAAGCCGCGGUGAAUACGUUCCCGGGCCUU